GAUUUGCGUAUCUUUUCCGCGUGAUCGCGUUGAUAGUCGCAAGUAAUUUACCGGCGUGCAUCGAGUCUCAUUUAAAUGUCAUCGGACGAAUCGGAUGGAACAGGUCUCGAAACGCGCGCUGACGAUUAUUCAGAGUUACGAGCGCAAUCAUCAACUACGUAUUUAAGCAGGCAUCACAUAUUUAAACAUACGUUACGUGUAAAAAUAAGUGACGCGAGGAGAUAAAACGAAAUGGUAGAAGUAGAAGCCGGACAAAAGUGGGACAAUGCACUCGGUUUUCCUCGUCGGUAGAGAAACUUCGGCACGUCAUUCACCCUUCUCUCGUGACGUAAAUCGGGAUUGCGCACAAUCCCGAAUGGACCUGCGAUUAAAAAAGAGCAGCCGAUGGAAAGUGGGCACUGCAGGAAAACUCUGAUGACGAUGUGUGACGUAGAAAUUGCAAAGCUGCUUGCGCCUACGCGAAAAGUUUUGAAGACGACCCACGCUCGAAACUUCCCAUUAGCCUACUUCACGAGGGAGCGCGUCGCCCCUUGACAACGCUUCAAGUCGGAGCAUUCAAACAGCCGCCGUAGUAGGUCCCGUUAAAAGAAGAAGCUGUAAAUAAGGCGUGAAGCUUCAUAAAUACGAAAUUACCCGAAAGAACCGUGAUAAUAAAUUCGGCCGACCGUGCAGACGCAAAGCGAGAGAUCUCAACUAUGCAGGCGUAAAUCAGAAGUACUUGAAAACUUUGUUGGCAAGCGUUGGUGCUUUAAUCUUUCAGACUUUGCGUAAUAACCAUCAUAAACGUCAUAAACGAGCUUUGAAACAGAUAUUAAGAGCGAAGAAAUAGUUCUGUUGCGAAAUAAAAUAAAGGUGUAAAAGGGUGUUUAAAUGUCGACAGGCAAGAAACGUCUUUGCGUUUGAGAAGAGGAA